AAUGAAAUGCCUGAUCAAAGGGUUAUCGUGAUAGGAUAAAUAAGGCAUUAAAUCGCUUUCAUUA
rnacentral:tRNA from 1 species